CAGUUCCUCUAUUAUGGUAGAGUCUGCUAGUUUCUCUGGCCCAAUAGCAGGACACUCACUCCCCCACCUGCACCUGCUGCAGAGCCUUUCUACUCUUGGCCCCAAAACACUGGGUGACACAGUUCUCAGACCCAUGAUUUAUAGUGUCAGUAUUCAGGCCUCAGGGGUCCCUGAUGGCUUCUCUGGCUCCAAGUCUGGAAACACAGCCUCCAUGACCAUCUCUGGGUUCCAGGCUGAGGAUGAGGCUGAUUAUUACUGCAACUCACAUAGGAGAGGUGGCACUUUC